AGAGUUGGCGCAGGCGGUUGCAGAUCAGUCAUUAAGACUGGUUUGAGGAAAGUCCGGGCUCCCGAAAGACCAGACUUGCUGGAUAACGUCCAGUGCGUGCGAGCGUGAGGAUAGUGCCACAGAAAGAUACCGCCAAAUUGAAUUAAUUCAAUUUGGUAAGGGUGCAAAGGUGCGGUAAGAGCGCACCAGCAGCGUCGAGAGGCGUUGGCUCGGUAAACCCCGGUUGGGAGCAAGGCCAGAGGAACUAUGGUUGGUCUUUUACCAGUUCCGUCAAAAGAGAGCCGCUAGAGGUGUCUGGUAACAGGCAUCCCAGAUAGAUAACUGCCCUCGCAAGAGAACAGAACCCGGCUUACUACUAACUCUUUCU
rnacentral:RNase_P_RNA from 2 species